AACGAACGCUGGCGGCAGGCCUAACACAUGCAAGUCGAGCGGACCCUUCGGGGUUAGCGGCGGACGGGUGAGUAACGCGUGGGAAUAUGCCCUUCUCUACGGAAUAGUCCUGGGAAACUGGGGGUAAUACCGUAUACGCCCUUUGGGGGAAAGAUUUAUCGGGGAAGGAUUAGCCCGCGUUGGAUUAGGUAGUUGGUGGGGUAAUGGCCUACCAAGCCGACGAUCCAUAGCUGGUUUGAGAGGAUGAUCAGCCACACUGGGACUGAGACACGGCCCAGACUCCUACGGGAGGCAGCAGUGGGGAAUCUUAGACAAUGGGGGCAACCCUGAUCUAGCCAUGCCGCGUGAAUGAUGAAGGCCUUAGGGUUGUAAAGCUCUUUCAGCUGGGAAGAUAAUGACGGUACCAGCAGAAGAAGCCCCGGCUAACUCCGUG
rnacentral:rRNA from 1 species